UAGCCGUAAACGAUACUCGCUAGGUGUCGGCCACGGUGCGACCGUUGUCGGUGCCGUAGGGAAGCCGUGAAGCGAGCCACCUGGGAAGUACGGCCGCAAGGCUGAAACUUAAAGGAAUUGGCGGGGGAGCACCACAACGGGUGGAGCUUGCGGUUUAAUUGGAUUCAACGUCGGAAAUCUUACCGGGACCGACAGCAACAUGAAGGCCAGGCUGAAGACUUUGCCGGGUUAGCUGAGAGGUGGUGCAUGGCGUAGACGU
rnacentral:rRNA from 1 species